GACCGUGUGUGUGUGUGUGUGUGUGUGUGUGUGUGUGUGUGUGUGUGUGUGCGUGCGUGCUCGCGCUCAUGAGCAC
rnacentral:miRNA from 1 species